CAUUCUACUCUGGCCAACUCCCAUUUUUUAUGUUACAUUAAAACAAUUUAUAUAUAUAUAUAAAUAUGCAUAGAUAUUUUGUACGUAAGUCGAUUACGUAAACUGGUUUAAGAUGCCAGUCAUAGUCGACAGCUACGUGCAAAAAUGUCAAAAAAUAAUGAUUCGUUUUAUCAUUUUUAAGUUUUAAUUGCGCUGUAUGCCAUUGUUUCGACUGUUUUAUACGUAUUUUUAUCAAGAAUUUUUUAUCUAUAAUUUAAUUACAGGUGCAUAAUUAAGCGGAUUUGCGUUAUAUCGAUCCGUCCGUGCGUAAUUUUGGCUAGGUUUGACUCGGUAUAUAACAAACGACUUCUCAGGAUUCUAAAUUAAGUUUUUCUGCAUUUUUUAAAUUUUUUUUCGAUAUUGUAUUUCGGUUUUUAGUCUUCGCAUUCCGUAGCAAUUUAAUAAUUCAGUAUUUUAUUUUUAAAACUGUGAGCAGUAUCAGACCGAGUUGUGUUUCAUCAAAAUUUUAAAUGAGAGUAAAGUAGGUUAGUGUCGAGGUAUAGGUAUAUAUUUUUCCUUUAUUACUCGCUUAUUAAAUUUUUCUAAAUUUUCUUUAUAGUAAUAUUUGAUGUAUAAAAGCAGCAUUUAAACUAAUUUCGAAAGAAAAUUGUUGUUUUGCUGUCGAUAACCGUUUAUUAACGCUAUGGCUUGAUUUUUCUAAUUUUCUUCGGAAAUACCAUCCAAAUUAAAUUGCUAAAUCGAACAUUGCAUUUUAAUGACGAUUUGUUUUGUAAUAAAAGUUGAAGUCGCUACGAUUCAUCCAGUCCUACAGAGCAAAAAGCAAUUUCCCUCUGUAAUUAUAACAUUAAUUUCUCCUAAUUUGCAUUUUUUGCUAGCGCUCUUCUUUAGAGAUUUUAUCUGCUAUUCCAUUUUGUUUAUCGCUUCAAACGAAAUGUGUGAAAUUCUUUCAAUGGUUCGGUAUACUUCAGAAUUGUGUCCAGAAAAGAAAUAUUGUAUCAACUGACGAAAUAAAGGUAUUUUCCCAGCGUAGCCUAUAUCUCGUUCGGCUAGUUUACUGUUAAAGGAUGCUAUUUCCCAACGGAUACGAAAUCUCGACAACCAAACAUUUCUGGGGUAAUUCUAUCAGUCGCAAUGUAUUGCACCAAAGAAAUCGUUAGUUUUUUUUUUUUUCUUCCUUCCACAGUUUUCUCCCUUAGGUGAAAACAUCAAUAAUGCGAAUAUUUCGUAUUUUAGGAAAAAUCUCCAAAUAGAUUUCGUAUCGAAACAAAUACCCACAAAAUUUAAUCGAAUAGUUUUUGCAGACGUAGAUAUCGUGCAGUUAUCUGCUUCAGAAAUGCAGUACUGUAUUUGUAUAGUCUACAGAUCUUUGUUCGCCUAGUAAUAAUCGUAUCAUUUUCUGGGUAAAUACAGUCUGUGUUUAUCAAGAAUGAUAUAUAAAAUGACUAAAACUAUCGAAAAUCGUUCUGUAUAUAUUCUACACUGAAACGAAUCUCGGUAAAUUUAAUCAUUUGAGACGAAUCGAUCUGAUUAAUUACCUGUAUUCGUUAAUUCAAAGUAUUUUUGUUGUAUUCAUCAAGUAUAACCGCAGUCCAGUCCUUUAAAUAACACAGCCAACAAUGAUUUCGAAUUGUUUGCCAGAUAAAUUUAUACUUUCGAGGUAUAAUUUGUAUAACAAUAAAGAAUUAAUGACUAUCGACGUUGAGAUAGACUACCUGGUAAUCGAGUAAAACGAACGUGGUUAAUUAUUUGAAACAGCACUAAUUAAGAUGGUAUCUUCAAACUAAACAAAGUAACGCAUAUGGCGGAAACAUUAUCCGAUACAUACAUAAGGUUACAUAUAUAUAUAUAUAAUUCUGUUUGCAAAUUAUGGAGGUUAUUUAACAAGAAAAAUAGAAGCUCUACAAAAACGAAAUUCAUCGAGAAUAAUUGCAUAUAUUCUAGUUUAUAUACGAGUCUAGUCUAAAGAUUAUUUUUGGAGAUAAGUGCGUUUUCAUUAUCGUUCGUAUAUUAAUGACAUUUUUACUGUUAAGGCUUCGUUGUUAUUAACUAAAACCGUACUACAUCUGUCUGCCUACAGAUUACGUAUAAAGAUGAUAAACGAGCGUUAUUAAGACGCGGAUAAAUUAAUGUAGAAGUGGAAAAAGAGAAGUCUUCAUUAUGAUAAGCAAACAGAUCUUAUUCCUUGAUCCUUUAAGGGGGUGACCUCCUCGCAUCACGAACAACUCUUGGCAUCUCGUAAAUCGACCAGCUUAACCGCUAAUACUGUGCCAACUACAGAAGGUGAAUUAUCAUCUAGUUCAUCAAUCAACAACGUUCGGGUGUGAUUUCAUCUGUCGUGUAACUCGUUUUCCAUUAAGGAACUUAAAUGUAUAUGUUUGCUUACGCGCGAUGCCAAUUUUCCUCCUUUACAGGAAAGAUUGCUUUUUUUUGUGUUUUAGCAUUUCUUCAAUAGAUAAGAUUGCAUCAUUUUUUUUUUUCAUUUCUUCUGGUAGGAAGAUAAAUUUAUUCGCGCUAGAAUCGAAUUUUUGAGAAAAACGACUCGGAUCUUAGCUAUAAUCGGUUCCGUUUUAAAGGAUAACUUUUGCUGUCAGAACAGGUGUUUCUGAUAUGUUUCAUGUCUUAGCAAUGAUUGAAGUAGAGCACUAAUGAAGAAGAGUGCGACAGUGUGUCGCCAUUCGCGACUCCAUUAAAGCUUGAUUCAAUAGAUGAGUGUCGAGACCAUACCUUCGACAGAACUCGAGAUUUAACUCUACUGCAAUACAGCGAAAUGCCUAAAUCUUUUAUUACGAGAAUGCUGAUAAUUAUAUUUUCUGUUAUUACUCAUUAAUAAGCGCACGCUAGAUAUUCCGCCAUUUUGAAUAUUUUGUUAAAUUUAUGGUAACAAAUAUUUCAUUCUUCGAUAACAUAUCUGGGUUACGCUUGAAUUAUGAAUAAUAAUUUUAUUGUGGCCGGCCUAAUUGAAUAUUAAUAGCCUUAUCACGCCAAUGAAAAAUGAAUCAGGUAAUACUUUUGGUGGUUGUUUUUUUGCUAUAUUGCUGGGAUUUUAGAUGACCACUUUAAGAGAAUGAUUUAAUUAUGUUAAUACAGUAUAGCGAAACUCUGGUACGCGUUGCAGUUGUUUCGGAGAUUAAACAUCUGUUUACUGUAAAUGUGGCUUUGUAGUAAAACCGUGUUUCGUCAUAAACGAUAAAAUUCUCUAAUUCUAACAGUAAAGCGCAAUCAGAUACAUCGGUUUUUCUUUCUUUCUUUUUUUUGAUUUUAUCGACGUGAAGCCACCAUUCGUGAUACGAAUGCGUCUUCCUUAUUUUUAUGGACUUGUAUCCUUAUAUUAUUGAGUUUCCGUUCUUAUAUAAAUCGAAUUUUGAAAAAUACAAUACGGAAUUUAAUGGCUGCCGUAUUCAGUUUUAGAAUAAAAAAAAAAAAAAAAAACUUGGGAUCGUUCGAAAUCCGUUAAUAUUAACAACCAUAAAUCUUUAAUUUAGAAAGAAAAAUCUGUUCGUAUCGAUUUACUGUUAUUCGAUUUUCGAAAAUGGUAAAAAUUACCGUGUUAAUUCCGAAAAAAAAAAAAAAAAAUAUCGAAAAAUUGGCAACACUUAUCGAUUUUAUAAAUCGUAAAUCGGUAAUGUCGUAAGACUUACACGCGUCCCUUUAAGAUAGUAUUUAUUAUGGUUUCGUAAAUUUUAAAAGUUAAACAGGUAGUAAACAUUAAUGGAAACAGUUGUCACUUAGAAUUUCGUACCUGUUUUCGACCAAUGCGUUUAUAAAUUAUUUAUUACGGUAACUUCGCUAGUUGUUGCGGCACUGCCCUCUAUUGAUAAAAUUCCGUAUUCUGACGUCGAAUCUCGAUUUUAAAGAUAUUUUAUGGAAACGUUCGAUUUCACGCUCCGUGGCGCUGUUCCCUGUCUUGUCGCUUAGCAACCGGAAUCAGGAAAUAUGAUAAAAAGAUGAAAUCUCCAUCAUAUUAUUUUAAAUUUAUAUAUAUAUUUAUGUAUUGGAAGAAUUAAGUUCUGUUGCUUACAGUUUCGAAUGGGGGAAAAAAGAGAGAAAUUUCUAGGCAAUUUCUUUGCUAAAAUUAUAAUUCCGGUUACGGUCUGAUUACGUCUGCAAUAACAACAGAUCAAGCGGAAAGUUUUUGCACUUAAGUAUUUAUUUUUCGGUAUUACCGCGUUGAUUAUUGUAUCGGUCGGAAUGUAAAUAAGUCUCUUUAAAUGACAUCAUCGACUAACGACUUAAUAUUUAAAAAUUCGAAUUAUCGUCAAAAUAAACGUUCGCAGUCGGAGGAAGAAGAAGAAGAAAAUUGUUUUUAACAUCAGAAGAG
rnacentral:lncRNA from 1 species